rnacentral:rRNA from 1 species
GACGAACGCUGGAGGCGUGCUUAACACAUGCAAGUCGAACGAUGAAAUUGAGCUUGCUCCAUGGAUUAGUGGCGAACGGGUGAGUAACACGUGAAUAACCUGCCCUUAAUUUUGGAAUAACCCAGGGAAACCUGGGCUAAUACCGGAUAAGUAAACCUUUGUCAUCACAUGUUUUUGGAAAGUUUUUCGAUUAAGGAUGGAUUCGCGGCCUAUCAGCUUGUUGGUGAGGUAAUGGCUCACCAAGGCGACGACGGGUAUCCGGCCUGAGAGGGUGAACGGCCACACUGGGACUGAGACACGGCCCAGACUCCUAAGGGAGGCAGGAGUGGGGGAUAUUGCGCAAUGGACGAAAGUCUGACGCAGCGACGCCUCGUGAGGGACGAAGGUCUUCGGAUUGUAAACCUCUUUCAGCAGGGACGUAGCGAAAGUGACGGUACCUGCAGAAGAAGCACCGGCUAACUAUGUGCCAGCCGCCGCCGUAA